CCUACGGGUGGCUGCAGUGGGGAAUAUUGGACAAUGGGGGGAACCCUGAUCCAGCCAUGCCGCGUGUGUGAAGAAGGCCCUCGGGUUGUAAAGCACUUUCAGUGAGGAAGAACGCCUGGUGGUUAAUACCCAUCAGGAAAGACAUCACUCACGGAAGAAGCACCGGCUAACUCCGUGCCAGCAGCCGCGGUAAUACGGAGGGUGCGAGCGUUAAUCGGAAUUACUGGGCGUAAAGCGCGCGUAGGUGGCUUGAUAAGCCGGUUGUGAAAGCCCCGGGCUCAACCUGGGAACGGCAUCCGGAACUGUCAAGCUAGAGUGCAGGAGAGGAAGGUAGAAUUCCCGGUGUAGCGGUGAAAUGCGUAGAGAUCGGGAGGAAUACCAGUGGCGAAGGCGGCCUUCUGGACUGACACUGACACUGAGGUGCGAAAGCGUGGGUAGCAAACAGGAUUAGAUACCCGAGUAGUC
rnacentral:rRNA from 1 species